CAAUUUAUAAUCAACUUUAUGACUCAAUCUUAAUUUAUGACCAAGACUAAACAAAAACGUGUCCUAAAUGAGUCCAGGGAAAUAUGGGCCACAACCUCUGCCUGUUGCGUUCCCUUGCUGUAACACUGAGCUCCCUGGCGACUGCCUGUCUCAGCAGGGGCAAGCUGUUCUGGGGUCACACGGCUUCUACCUUACCCUGGUCUGUUCUUUCUGGAUUUUUUUCCCGUGACUUAGUGGCUAGACCAAGAAGUGAACUGCUCUGAAUUACAUUUUCAGAUUUUCCCCCCCCCUCAGUUUAGUGAAGUGAUGGAAAUUCGUAGGCUUACAAAAAUGGACUUCAGUCUUUUCAGCAGUCAGUCCCUUCCUGUUUUAUUCCCAUUGAAAUGAUCUGUAUGUUUGGCAGGAUCAUUAAACAUGUCCGUAUCGGUGACAUGAGUCUGCACUUGAACACCGGAAGUACAGAUACAACAUGGCAGCAGCUGCGAGGCUGUGAGGUUAGAGUCCUGCACUGGAGCACUGCCGGCUGCACGGUGACGGGGCCCUGAGCAGGUCCUGCGAUCCACUCCCCAUCUGCGACUGCACUGCUCGCCUCGUACAGCGGCAGAAAGGCACAUGUGAAAAACUGCCAAUGGCGUGGCACUGAGCGCUGAAGUAGGAGUGCCUUCAUGGCUACUGUUAUCUGACCAUUUUAUCCAGGUGCCGCCUGUCUCGGAACAUGUGGAUGACAACAAAGCCGUCGCCGUCUGUCUGGGCUGACUGCUGAGGGUGCGCACCCGCACAGGACCAGGGCAUCAAGGCUUCCGAGAACACUCGCACAGGGGUCUGUCACCAAAGCUCCUCCGGAUUAGGACCUGGCAGUGCUGCGUGCUGGCCGACAGGAGUUCCUUCUCUGUGUCCAGCAUUUCAAGGAGCCUCUGGUGCUGCAAGGGGAGAUGAGCAGGAGGAUUACCGCCCUGAGCCCAGUAUCCCGGAGCACAGCUGCUACGAUGCAACAGCCCAAGCAGUGUGGCAAUGAUGUUCACGAGCUUGCUUGGUGAAUGACUACCUGACCGUCUUCAUUUCUGCUGCAGUCCCACUAAAGACAUUUCAACAUCAGUACUACUUACUCUUACACUUCAGCAGAUUCAGAACAUGGAGUUCACGAAAGCACACCGGGGCGUAUUUUAAACCACAGCUCCUGUGACAGGGUGGGGGG